UACAGAGACUGCAAGCGUUAUUCGGAUUCACUGGGCGUAAAGGGUGCGCAGGCGGCCAUGUGUGUGAGGCGUGAAAGCCCGGGGCUCAACCCCGGAAUUGCACCUCAAACUACAUGGCUAGAGCAUUGGAGAGGGUAGCGGAAUUCACGGUGUAGCAGUGAAAUGCGUAGAUAUCGUGAGGAGCACCAGAGGCGAAGGCGGCUACCUGGACAAUUGCUGACGCUCAGGCACGAAAGCGUGGGGAGCAAACAGG
rnacentral:rRNA from 1 species